UACGUAGGGUGCAAGCGUUGUCCGGAAUUAUUGGGCGUAAAGAGCUCGUAGGCGGCUUGUCGCGUCGUUCGUGAAAACCUGCAGCUCAACUGCAGGCUUGCGGUCGAUACGGGCAGGCUAGAGUUCGGUAGGGGAGACUGGAAUUCCUGGUGUAGCGGUGAAAUGCGCAGAUAUCAGGAGGAACACCGGUGGCGAAGGCGGGUCUCUGGGCCGGUACCGACGCUGAGGUGCGAAAGCGUGGGGAGCAAACAGG
rnacentral:rRNA from 1 species